AAGACUCGUUUAUACAGCUCGCUGCUUUUCUGUAAACACGGGGUCACACGACCACGAGCCCGUUUUACCGCCACACACUGAAGCGUUUAGCAGACUCCUUCCUGCUCGCUCCGAGGUCACGUUCCUGCGUGGCGUCGGGUCGAGAACACCACAGAAGAAUUCACAGUUAGCGAGCGAGCGGGAAGGGGAGGGGCGUGAUGACGUUUCCAUCUUGUGCUCGCUGCGGUCUGCGUUCAUUCUGAAGAGAGAUAGAACGACCUGUCCUGAGAAUCAGAGAGAGCAGAGAGAAUCACUCCCAUGAUUCCCCGCUGACGUCAUCUUUUGUUAUUGUUCUGAUAGAGAGCCCCCUGGUGGUGGAGUUUACGUACUGCACCUUUAAGAGAAUCUGACUUACUGUCAGCCUGUAAAAUCAGCUUUCAUCUAUCUCUUUCAGGACAUCGGGAAGUGUCUGAUGGCGUUGGAUCAGCUCAGUAUGGUUUAUGUGACGUCCAAACACGUGAAGCGACACAGCGAGCUCAUCUCCACUCUGAGAAAGCUGCGCUGCUACAGAGCCAACCAGGCCAUCAUGGACAAGGCGUCCAUGCUCUACAACCGCUUCAAGAACGCCUACCUGCUGGGGAGGGGAGGAGAUGGUGAGCGCCACCUUCCUGCGCUCCCUGCUGGAGGAGAAGGAGAGGGAGGAGGCUGAGCGGGCCGAGGGCUGCAGGGAGAGGAUGAUGAGGGAGGAGAGGGAGGAGAGGGGGGGGACCGACGGAGGAGGAGAAAACUGAAGCUCCAGUGGAAUCUUCCUGAAGUUUCUGGAGCAGUUUGGACUGAACCAACUCUAAUCUGAGGGGGUGUGGCCUUGAAACAAAGCCCCGCCUCCAUGAGAACAAUGAGAACUUCCACCAACACGUUUACCUCGUCCUGCCUGAACAGCGCCGGUUAUUUAUAAACUAAAGCCGAGUGAGCGCGUCGUCUCACCUGCGCAGGUGAAGUCUGAACGCCUGUUUGUCGUUGAAGUCACCACUUCACCACAUCAACAUUAUUUCUCACUUAUUGCAUUACCUUCGUUCACACGAGCAUUAAUCACCAACGCCACCUUUAUGACCAUUACCUGUCUUUUAUGCUAAGCUAUCUUUAGCUAACUCUGAUCCUGAAACUUUGCUUCCAAACUUUAUCGUCUUUACGACAUUUUUUAUAAAGGCCGAAAUCUAGAAACACAAAGAGCUGAAAGCUAACGGGAGCCUUUCAAUCC